GGACCCGCACAAGCGGUGGAGCAUGUGGUUUAAUUCGAUGCAACGCGAAAAACCUUACCUACUCUUGACAUACUUGGAAGCUCUUGUAAUGAGAGUGUGCCUUUUGGAACCAAGAUACAGGUGCUGCAUGGCUGUCGUCAGCUCGUGUCGUGAGAUGUUCCGUUAAGUCGGAUAACGAGCGCAACCCUUACCCUUAUUUGCCAGCGAUUCGGUCGGGAACUAUAAGGGGACUGCCGGUGAUAAACCGGAGGAAGGUGAGGACGACGUCAAGUCAUCAUGGCCCUUACGUCCUGGCUACACACGUGCUACAAUGGUCGGUACAGAGGGCAGCUACCUAGUGAUAGGAUGCA
rnacentral:rRNA from 1 species